AUCAAAUGCUCUUGUGCGGAAGUCAACGUAAACGUCAUAUCAAAUUUUCUGCGAUAAAUUGAUUCAUACUAUCCUCCAUAAAAUACUUUACUAGGAGGACAAUAAUACCAACCUACAACAUUGAAACCAUUUCGUGCAACGCUGUUGGCGGAGCAGAGUAGUAGCCUACAGUAAUAAUGGUUCUCUAGCCAGAAUUCACUACUGCAAUGGAGGUCGAGGUGGACGUAAUAGAGUUCAGGGUACCCAUUGAAAAUAACAAAACACUGUUUGUCUGGAAUAUUCUAUCCACAUUUUCAGACGCGUUUAUUUACGAAUCCAUCUGGAACAUAUUCUGCAACUUUGGACCGCUGUAUCUGGUAAAGGUGUGUCCCAAUGCUGCCGGGGUGGAGCCAGGGUUCUAUGCCCUAGUCAAGUACUUCUCCGCAGCCCAGGCAUCUAAAGCACAGAAAGCCACACAUGGAAGAGGCUUUUUCCAGAGCUCUCCUUUGAAGGUAAAGCUGAGCACAAAGCAGUACCCAAACUUCCUUCACAACUCUAAGCCACUGAGCCGUAGCAAGUGUCAGGACUUGGCCAACCACUACCUGGGUUUUAAUGGAUGGAGCACCCACAUUGUUACACUGAAGGACAUCUCCAACUGUGACGAAUCCGGCAGGUUGUCCACCACAACUGGUGACCCUCAGGAGAUUACCCUGAAGUACGGCUGCAUCAUGGAUGUCACCUUCCCACAGCAUGGCCUUAGCUGCCGAGGCGUCGGAGUGGCUGAAGAGACCAUAGAGGGCACCGGUCCAGAUGUUGUCCUGCCAAAAAGAGGAAAGCUCCAGAGAUGGGCCAGGGACAAAGCAGUGGUUGACGCUUUCGAGAAGGUGUUGCUGCUGGUUCUGGGAAAUGGGAAAGUUGUCGUUGAAUGCAGGGUGGAGCGAGAUGAUGUCCUACAAGAUGAGGAUCUGAAAGGACUCAUAAAGGUUAAUGACAUUCCCUGGAGCCAAUUUGACCCUGAUAGCCAGGAGGAAAAUGAGGAUAUAGCAUGGGACCUCAGUAUCAACAUGUGACAUGUACCUGGAGACAGUUUAUCUGUGUUCACUUGCACUCACUGUGUUUAAGUCGGUGCCAUGGAACAACUUUGCAUUUCCCGUUAAACAUUUUUCAGGUGCAGGGUGUGUCAUUCUGUUUACCCGUCUGGCGCCAUUAUACAUAAAUCCUCUGAUUCUCUUUGAGCUCAACUGGCCCUCAGUCAAAUCUCACCAUUUAGACAUGAUCAGACUACACCUGGCUGUGACCUGACAUGAACCCUACAGCAAUAGGCUACAUGCAUGUACAGUGCCUUCAGAAAGUCUUCACACCCCUUUUACCUUUUCCACAUUUUGCUGUGUUACAUCCCGAAUUGAUCAAAUGUAGAUGUUUUGUCACUGGCCUACACACAAUACCCCAUAAUGUCAAAUUGGAAUUGUGUUUUUCUAUUAUUAUUUUUUUUACAAAUUAAUAAAAAAUGAAAAGCUUGAAUGUCUGGUACUGGUAAAAUAGCGCCGACGAAUAGGGCUGCCAUGCUUAGCUCUUAGGAAACUUUGCAGUAUUAAUUUUUUUGAUGUGUUAUUUCUUACGUUAAUAGCCCAGGAAAUUUUGGGUGUUAUUACAUACCGCCGGGAAGAACUUUUGCAUAUCAGGGCGACGGUAACUCACCAGCAUUACGACCAGGAAUACGACUUUCUGAUCCUUUGUUUGUAACCCCACCCCCCUCCCACCAUGGCAAUUGAACGCUGUUUCAAAACACCACCGGAGGUGAGCACACCACCCACUGCUUCAGAGUAUAUUACUCGCUAAUGUUCAGUCUCUGGAUAAUAAAUUUGACUAGCUCAGGCCGAGGAUUUCCUUCCAGAGAGACACCGGGGAUUGUAAAAUACUCUGUUUCACAGGACUGGGAUAUGUUCCGGGUAGCCUCUGAGAAUAAUGUAGACGAAUGCACUGAUGCGGUGGCUGAGUUCAUCAGGAAGUGUAUAAAAGAUGUUGUACCACUGGGACUAAUUAAACCUAUUCUAAUCAGAAACCGUGGCUAGAUGGCAGCAUUCACGCAAGACUGAAAGGGCGAACCAUCGCAUUUAACCAUGGCAAGGUGACUGGGAAUAUGGCCGAAUACAAACAGUGUUGUUAUUCCCUCUGUAAGGCAUUCAAACAGGCAAAACGUCAGAACAGAGACAAAGUGGAGUUGCAAUUCAACGGCUCAGACACAAGAUGUAUGUGGCAGGGUCUACAGGCAAUCGGACUACAAAGGGGAAAUCAGCCACGUCGCGGACACUGACUUCUUGCUUCUGGACAAGCUAAACACCUUUGCCCGCUUUGAGGAUAACACAGUGCCACCGACACGGCCGCUACCAAUGACUGUGGGCUCUCCUUCUCCGUGGCCGACGUGAGUAAGACAUGUAAGCAUGUUAACCCUUGCAAGGCUGCCGUCCAGGAUGAUAUCCCUAGCCGCGUCCACAGAGCAUGCGCAGAUCAGCGGGCUGGAGUGUUUACAGACAUAUUCAAUCUCUCCCUAUCCCAGUUUGUUGUCCCCACAUGUUUCAAGAUGCCCACCAUUGUUCCUGUACUCAAGAAAGCAAAGGUAACUGAACUAAAUGACUAUUGCCCAGUAGCACUCCCUUGGGUCAUCAUGAAGUGCUUUGAUGACAACAAACAAAGUAUUCAACCUCUUUGUUGUGGCAAGACUAAAUAAGUUCAGGAGUUAAAAAUAUGCUUAACAUAAUAAGUUGCAUGACUAUGUAUUUAAUUUCUAAAUAAAUUUGAACAAAAAUCUAAAAACAGGUUUUCACUUUGUCAUUAUGGGGUAUUUUGUGUAGAUAGUUUCCCCUCACCUAUGUAAUCAAUUUUGAAGUCAGGUUGUAACGUGUUCACGCUACACGUUCCCCAAGG